UUGGGUAAACUACACCGACGGUCACUUUUAUUUACUUCAAGUUACAUUUUAGUCACUUAUGUUUAAAAUAUUACGUUUUAGUCACUUGCGUUAUCGUGUUGUAACAUUUUAGUCACUAAGUCGUUAAUUGCCGUUAACAGUGUAACAGUAAGUUGACGUGGCACGUUAAAUCAUCAUUUCAAACAAAUUUUAGUCACUUAUGUUUGAAAUGUUACGUUUUAGUCACUUGCGUUAUCAUGUUGUAACAUUUUAGUCACUGAGUCGUUAAUUGUCGUUAACAGUGUAACAGUAAGCUGACGUGGCACGUUAACAAAUUUUAGAUUAAAUUAUAUAAUCGGUCCCCAAAUUUUUUCGUUUUGAGAAAUUUAAUUUAUUUCUUUUAUGUUCUUUAAACCUUCCUCUCUCUUUUUUUCUUUCCAUUUUCUUCUGUUUCUCCCUUUGUUUUCCUACUUUCUCCAUUUCUUUUAACAUAUCAGGAAGUCGAAUUGACUGCAAAGAAAGAAGCAAGAAGUCGAAAGCCAUCAUUGCUUAUAAACAAAACCCAUAAAUCAAUAUCAAGCUUCUUUUUUGACUUUUUGUUAUGUUAAAAGAAAUGGAGAAGGUAGGAAAAGAGAGAGAGAAAAAAAGAGAAUGGAAAAUAAAGAAAAAAAGGAAAGAUAAAAGAACAUAAAAGAUAAAAAUUAAAUUACUCAAAACGAAAAAAUAUGAGGACUAAUUGUAUAGUUUAACUUAAAUUUUUUUAUUUGAAAUGAUGAUUUAACGUGCCACAUCAGCUUACCGUUGCACUAUUAACGGCAAUUAACGACUUAGUGGCUAAAAUGUUACAACACGAUACGUAAGUGACUAAAAUGUAACAUUUCAAACAUAAAUUACUAAAAUGUAACCUGAGGUAAACAAAAAUGACCAUAGGUGUAGCUUACCCUUUAUUUUUAUAUUGGAUAAAUAUAAUUAUUCAUGAAUACACUAUGUAAUACCAAUUAUUUGCCUGGGCCCACUUCUAAAAACAAUGAAUCAAAGCAGAGAGUAAAAACCCAAAUAAAGAGUCCAUUUUUACAAGCCCAAUAUCAUUAGCUGGCCCAAAAUCUAGGUUCUACCCUAGCUCGAUUUCAGCAUAGCCCAAAGCAAAUGUUUAGAAGCAGCAACCCUAGUUGCAUGUGCCUCCAGCAGUCUCCAGCCGCCGCAAGAUCCGGAAUUGACCUUCUCCACGCGCGCCGUAUUCUCCAUGAACACCUGUAAAAACGGACUAAGAGUCCACAAAGGAAAAUAUUGUAAAACUAAUGUAUUUUCUUAGGCUAUAAAAAGCCUAAUCUGUACAUUGGAAAAGGGGGGAGGGUAUUGAGAGAAGAUUGGAAAUACAAAGGAAAGGAAAAACGGAUUCAAAAUUUUUGAAUAACAGCGGUUUUUGUAAUUUUUUUUAGUUUGUUUUGUGGAUGUUUGAUUUAUUUAUUUAUACAUUUAGUUUUCAUUUUUAUUCUUUUAUUUUUAACAAUAAUAUAAAAGAGGAGAGGGGUAAUACCUUCGAGGAUUCGCCGUCAAAACUGCGUUCGUCUCGCUCAAAUCGGAGCUUGACGGAGCCCCAGGGAUUGACUCGCCGGAGAACGGCGGCGGUGAGAGCUGGGGUUGAAAAAACCUAGCAGAGGGUUUUUUUAUUUUUAUUUUUUCUUCCUUCUUACUGCUGCAAACAU
rnacentral:lncRNA from 1 species